GAGCCUCCAUAUAGACUGUACACACCUGUCCGUGUGUGGAGAGGAGAUCGCAACGCGAAAUUCGAAGGUCAGGUUUUUUCUAUGGACUGAUUGAACUCCAGCUUUGCAGAAACUCUCAACUCCACUAGGAAAUGAACGAUGGCGAGUUUACCCAAAAACCUGAACUUAAAUUAACCUGAAUCAAAUAACUGGACUGUGUUUUUUUUGUUUUGUUUUGUUAUUCCUGUGCCCUGUGAAAAUUUAUUUUCAAUAUACUUCACCCAACUUCA